rnacentral:rRNA from 1 species
CUGGCUCAGGACGAACGCUGGCGGCGUGCUUAACACAUGCAAGUCGAACGAUGAACCAGGAGCUUGCUCUUGGGGAUUAGUGGCGAACGGGUGAGUAACACGUGAGUAACCUGCCCUUGACUCUGGGAUAACUUUUGGAAACAGAAGCUAAUACCGGAUAUGACGCACGGAGGCAUCUCCUGUGCGUGGAAAGAAUUUCGGUCAAGGAUGGACUCGCGGCCUAUCAGGUAGUUGGUGAGGUAAAGGCUCACCAAGCCUACGACGGGUAGCCGGCCUGAGAGGGUGACCGGCCACACUGGGACUGAGACACGGCCCAGACUCCUACGGGAGGCAGCAGUGGGGAAUAUUGCACAAUGGGCGAAAGCCUGAUGCAGCAACGCCGCGUGAGGGACGACGGCCUUCGGGUUGUAAACCUCUUUUAGUAGGGAAGAAGCGAAAGUGACGGUACCUGCAGAAAAAGCACCGGCUAACUACGUGCCAGCAGCCGCGGUAAUACGUAGGGUGCAAGCGUUGUCCGGAAUUAUUGGGCGUAAAGAGCUCGUAGGCGGUUUGUCGCGUCUGCUGUGAAAUCCCGAGGCUCAACCUCGGGCCUGCAGUGGGUACGGGCAGACUAGAGUGCGGUAGGGGAGAUUGGAAUUCCUGGUGUAGCGGUGGAAUGCGCAGAUAUCAGGAGGAACACCGAUGGCGAAGGCAGAUCUCUGGGCCGUAACUGACGCUGAGGAGCGAAAGCGUGGGGAGCGAACAGGAUUAGAUACCCGGGGUAG